rnacentral:rRNA from 1 species
AUUAUCUAUUUAAUUCUGGUUGUGGGAGACAAGGAAUAUUAUUUUACAUAGGGUUGUUGUAUGAUUGAUUGUGUGAUGUGGUUAGUCUCACAGGUCUAGUAUGGAGGGCUUAUUGUUCGAGGAAACUCGGAUUGGGUUAUUCUUGGUGGAGCGGUUAAUUCACAGUGCCAGCAUCCGCGGUUAGUCUGUGGCUUAGGUCUCUGGAUCGGUUAAAAAACUAUUUGAGUAAUUAGGGAGAGUAAAGGUUAAAUUGCGUCCUACUUGCAAUAUGCUUAAGAUGGGUAGGUAUGUCUCGGUGGAAGAAAAGGAUUAGAUACCCUUGUAUUUUGAGAUUGAACUUUGUGUCCUUGAUUUUAAUUAAAAGGAUUUGGCAGCCAGCGAUGUUCCUCCGGGGGAGCGUGUGUAUGAAUAGAUGGUCCGCUUAGUAUCUUACCAUUUUGUUAGGGCUAGUGUACAUCCGGUUUAAUACUCUUGAUUAAUGUUGGGGGUGUAAUAUUUAAUUGAAGCCAGGUCAAUGUGCUGCUGUGAGGUGGGUUAUGUGCGCUACAUUGUAAGUUUGGGAUUUGAUAUAUUUCCAGAUUCAGGACUCGGAAGUAGGUGAAGUUAAGUUUGCUCUAUCGAAGUGUGUUUUAGUUGGGGUACACACCGCCCGUCACCCAUGGCGUGGGCCGUUGUAAGUCGUAACAUGGUAGCGUUAGACGAAUCUG